ACGAACUCCUGUCCUUGCUGCAGCUAAUCCAGCACGGGGGAGAAAUAACCUGCGUAGAACUCCUGCUGAAAACAUUAAUCUUCAACUGGCCCUUUUGUCGAGAUUUGAUCCUUGAUGGUUAAUCCUGGAUCGAGCAGAUAGGGAUAGUGAUGUUGAGAUGGCUAGGCAUGUUGUCUAUUUUCACCAGAAUAAAGUAUCACCGGCUCUUGGUUUCAGUCCACUUGAGCCAUCAGUUAUUCGGUAAAUUUUGCAGCACUUUUACCUUGGAAGGCUCAGCAGUACUGAUUUCAGGAAGGGAUACAGUGAAGCCCAACUGAAACAAUGUUUGGAGGAAUACGCAAACAUAAAUGUGUGGCAGAUUAAUCCCCCUUCUUUUGACAUCCGGUUUAUUGAUGCCAUUUGAAAGAUGAGCGAGUGAGAAGCUACUCAACUCGGCUUCUGUUAAAGGUAGUUGGAGCUUUUCUUAGGAGUGUGGCAUGGGUUACUUCAUCAAC